rnacentral:misc_RNA from 1 species
CUUUUAGAAUAUUUCAAUAUGGCGUCACCCAUAUAGUUUACGAUUCAAAAUAAAACUAUCUUUUGUUUUAUAGGGAAGAUUGUUGAAUUAUACGAGUUAGGAUGUCGCAGAUAGAUAGCGAAAUUCCUAGUCAAGCGAUGACAAGUGAGACUAACUCUGAUUCUUCCACAGGAAUCAAGAAAGAAGACGACCAGUCAACAUCUCUAGAGUCCCUACCCUCAGUACAAAGUCAGUCUGGGUCUGUCACAGAGGGAACCCCAAAGCACCGCAUCAGUCAGCUUCUACCACCCCAGAGUCAAAACUCGGCCCAGGAACCACGGAGAACCUCUUCAAGAUCCAUCAAGCGCAAGAAGUUCGAUGAUGAAGUCGUAGAAAGUAGUUUGAUUAAAACAGAGAGAGGGAGAAUGACAAAGUUAUCCACAGUGACACAAGUUCUGGAGAAAUUGGAGCCAGCUGUUGAAAAAGAACAGCCCCCAGCCCCACCUCCCGAAAAGAAGAAGGUUUCCAAGUCUAUUAAUUCAGCAGCAAAACGAGCCAAGAAACAAAAGCCUCCAGCACCUGCCUCGACCAAAGACCUGGGAAGGUGGAAGGCUCAAGAUGACCUUGCCCUCAUCACAGCUAUUCAGCAGACAAAUGACCUGACAGCAGUCCAUUUAGGGGUCAAGUUCUCUUGUAGAUUUACCCUCAAGGAAAUUCAGGAGAGGUGGUAUGCAUUGCUGUAUGACCCAAUCAUAUCAAAGUUAGCUGUGCAGGCCAUGAAUCAGCUCCACCCCGAUGUUGUGGCAGAGGUCCAGUCGCGUGCUCUCUACAGUACAGAGGAGGAGUCUCUGAUGGGCACCGUGUCCUCGACCAGUCAGCCAACAGUGGAGAUAUUUCAGGAGCUCCUAGAACAGAACCCAGACACGUUCUACCCGCUGCGCACGGCCAAGGCGCUGCACAACCACUGGUUACUGCUGAAACAGUACCACCUUCUGCCCGACCAGUCAGUGCAGCCCAUUCCUCGCGGGGACCAUGUGCUGAAUUUCUCUGACGCUGAGGAGAUGAUGAAUGAUGAAGAACUAAGAGAACCCAAAGAUGAUGUCCUGGAACAAGAACUCUCUGUGUCUGACAGAAGAAACAAGAACGAGAUCCGACACCUGGAACAGGAGCUUCCUAAAUGGCAGGUGUUGGUGGACAGUGUGACAGGCAUCAGUCCCCAGGACUUUGAUAACCAGACCCUGGCUGUGCUGAGAGGGAGGCUGGUCCGUUACUUAAUGAGGUCAAAGGAGAUAACAUUAGGUAGAGCCACCAAGGACAACCAGAUAGAUGUGGACCUGUCCCUGGAGGGGCCCGCCUGGAAGAUCUCCCGCCGACAAGGCAUCAUCAAGCUCCGCAGUAAUGGAGACUUCUUUCUGGCCAAUGAGGAUCUCAAGCUUGCGUUUCAUUUUCCUGAUUAACCAGGACUUGAUCAACGUAAUUCGGACUGAAUCUCAGAAGCUGGUUCCAACGUGACACAAGGAGGGAGAUAGACAGAGACAUACAGACAUAUACAGAGAUGUACGGGGGGAUGAGACGUACAGAGAUUAAUAGAGAUGUACAGGGGGAUGAGACGUAUGGAAAUAAACAGAUUGACAGGUGACGGUGCGUGUUCACAAUGUACAGAGAAUCCAACCAAAGAUGCUGGUGAUGCCGAGUUUCCGGUCAUUGUCAAUACCCUGUACUAAGGGAAGUAAGGACUUGUUAGGUGACAGAGAUAUGGGAAGAGGACGGAAGAAGCACCCCCAGGAUCUGUCCCGAGUGCCACACAGCCUCGGUGUUAGCUAGAUGAUAUAUGUGUACAGAAUAAAUUUUCCUACUUGAUCUUU